rnacentral:lncRNA from 1 species
UGACGUGUGGGAAGUUUGAAGAUGAUGGUUGGUUACAAGGGUCAAAUAGUAAUUUAUUUUGUGAUAGAUACAAAUUUGAAAAGGAUCUAUACCAGACCAUGUAUUCAUAGCUCGAUUUACAUUUUGUUGGCAUGAUAUAGCCUUGUAAUAUAGUAGUGCGGUGUUUUUUCAAUUGAAGACACUCUUAUCUAUUAUGAUAUUUUCAAUUUCUAAAUUUC